AGAACAGACAGGAGUGAGCUUCACAGAUGAGGUUAUUGUUCUUGUCUGACAUUAGCCAACACAGCCACAACCAACGAUUCCCGGGCCAGAUUUGCUCCUCUACCUCCUUCCCAGUAGUUGAUGGGCUGAAGAAUAUACCAAGUAAUGAAAAACAUGGGCACAAUAACUCAAGAAUUCAAGGUUACAAUCUUGUUUAUCGCUGCUGAAAACACAAACUUGAACAUGGCAGAAACAGCUCAGCUGGAAGCAUUGUUGAAGCACAUUGAUCUGCUGGACACGUAUAUAACUUUCACAAAACUAAUGUGUAGAAAUUGCAAUAGUUGGGUAUAGCCCUUCAAUAAAGUUAAAAUAGUUUUCAACAUGAAUUUGUUUACUACCUGAUGAA